rnacentral:rRNA from 1 species
CCUACGGGAGGCAGCAGUGGGGGAUAUUGCACAAUGGGGGAAACCCUGAUGCAGCGACGCCGCGUGUGGGAAGACGGUCCUCUGGAUUGUAAACCACUGUCCCCAGGGACGAAAAUGACGGUACCUGGGGAGGAAGCUCCGGCUAACUACGUGCCAGCAGCCGCGGUAAUACGUAGGGAGCGAGCGUUGUCCGGAAUUACUGGGUGUAAAGGGAGCGUAGGCGGGGAUGCAAGUUGCGUGUCAAAACUACCGGCUCAACUGGUAGUCGAACUCAAAACUGCAGCUCUUGAGUGAAGUAGAGGCAGGCGGAAAUCCUAGUGUAGCGGUGGAAGGCGUAGAUAUUAGGGGGAACGCGAGUGACGAAGGCGGGCGGCUGGGCUUUUACUGACGCUGAGGCUCGAAAGUGUGGGGAGCAAACAGGAUUAGAUACCCUAGUAGUC